rnacentral:rRNA from 1 species
AACAGGAUUAGAUACCCUGGUAGUCCACGCCGUAAACGAUGUCGACUUGGAGGUUGUGCCCUUGAGGCGUGGCUUCCGGAGCUAACGCGUUAAGUCGACCGCCUGGGGAGUACGGCCGCAAGGUUAAAACUCAAAUGAAUUGACGGGGGCCCGCACAAGCGGUGGAGCAUGUGGUUUAAUUCGAUGCAACGCGAAGAACCUUACCUGGUCUUGACAUCCACAGAACCUUGUAGAGAUACGAGGGUGCCUUCGGGAACUGUGAGACAGGUGCUGCAUGGCUGUCGUCAGCUCGUGUUGUGAAAUGUUGGGUUAAGUCCCGCAACGAGCGCAACCCUUAUCCUUUGUUGCCAGCGGUCCGGCCGGGAACUCAAAGGAGACUGCCAGUGAUAAACUGGAGGAAGGUGGGGAUGACGUCAAGUCAUCAUGGCCCUUACGACCAGGGCUACACACGUGCUACAAUGGCGCAUACAAAGAGAAGCGACCUCGCGAGAGCAAGCGGACCUCAUAAAGUGCGUCGUAGUCCGGAUUGGAGUCUGCAACUCGACUCCAUGAAGUCGGAAUCGCUAGUAAUCGUGGAUCAGAAUGCCACGGUGAAUACGUUCCCGGGCCUUGUACACACCGCCCGUCACACCAUGGGAGUGGGUUGCAAAAGAAGUAGGUAGCUUAACCUUCGGGAGGGCGCUUACCACUUUGUGAUUCAUGACUGGGGUGAAGUCGUAACAAGGUAACC